rnacentral:rRNA from 1 species
GACGAACGCUGGCGGCGUGCUUAACACAUGCAAGUCACGGGGGCCCGCAAGGGCAACCGGCGAACGGGUGCGUAACACGUGAGCAAUCUGCCGAUUUCUGGGGGAUAGCCGGCCCAACGGCCGGGUAAUACCGCAUACGCUCUGGUGGUGGAGUCACUGUCAGAGGAAACCUCCGGGGGAGAUCGAGGAGCUCGCGGCCUAUCAGCUAGUUGGCGAGGUAACGGCUCACCAAGGCGACGACGGGUAGCUGGUCUGAGAGGAUGGCCAGCCACAUUGGGACUGAGAGACGGCCCAGACUCCUACGGGAGGCAGCAGUGGGGAAUCUUGCGCAAUGGCCGAAAGGCUGACGCAGCGACGCCGCGUGUGGGAUGACGCCUUUCGGGGUGUAAACCACUGUUGCCCGGGACGAACGACCCCAUUCGUGGGGUGUGACGGUACCGGGUGAGGAAGCACCGGCUAACUCCGUGCCAGCAGCCGCGGUAAUACGGAGGGUGCGAGCGUUGUCCGGAAUCACUGGGCGUAAAGGGCGCGUAGGCGGCCUGGCAAGUCAGUGGUGAAAGCUCGCGGCUCAACUGCGAGUCGGCCACUGAGACUGUUGGGCUCGAGUCGACUAGAGGCAGAUGGAAUUCCGGGUGUAGCGGUGGAAUGCGUAGAGAUCCGGAAGAACACCGGUGGCGAAGGCGGUCUGCUGGGGUCGAACUGACGCUGAGGCGCGACAGCGUGGGGAGCAAACAGGAUUAGAUACCCUGGUAGUCCACGCCGUAAACGAUGGGCACUAGGUGCUUGGGGGAGCGACCCCCUGAGUGCCGGCGCUAACGCAUUAAGUGCCCCGCCUGGGGAGUACGGCCGCAAGGCUGA